CGACCCCAUGUCAGGCGGGACUACCCGCUGAGUUUAAGCAUAUAAAUAAGCGAAGGAGAAGAAACUUACAAGGAUUCCCCUAGUAACGGCGAGCGAACCGGGAGUAGCCCAGCUUGAGAAUCGGGCGGCUGUGCCAUCCGAAUUGUAGUCUGGAUAGGCGUCCUCAGCGACGGACGGGGCCCAAGUCCCCUGGAAAGGGGCGCCUGGGAGGGUGAGAGCCCCGUCCGGCCCGGACCCUGUCGCCCCACGAGGCGCCGUCAACGAGUCGGGUUGUUUGGGAAUGCAGCCCAAAUCAGGCGGUAGACUCCGUCCAAGGCUAAAUACAGGCGAGAGACCGAUAGUGAACAAGUACCGCGAGGGAAAGAUGAAAAGGACUUUGAAAAGUGAGUCAAAGAGUGCUUGAAAUUGCCGGGAGGGAGGCGGAUGGGGGCCGGCGAUGCGCCCCGGCCGUAUGCGGAACGGCUCUUGCUGGUCCGCCGCUCGGCUCGGGGUGUGGACUGUUGUCGGCCACGCCGGCGGCCAAAGCCCGGGGGCCCUAGGUGCCCCCGGUGGCCGUCGUCGGCAAGGCCGGUACCCGCGCGCCGAAAGGCGUGUCCCUCGGGGCACUGCGCUGCAACGGCCUGCGGGCUCCCCAUCCGACCCGUCUUGAAACACGGACCAAGGAGUCUGACAUGCGUGCGAGUCGAUGGGUUCUGAAACCUGGGAUGCGCAAGGAAGCUGACGAGCGGGAGGCCCUCACGGGCCGCACCGGUGGCCGACCCUGAUCUUCUAUGUAGGGUUCGAGUUGGAGCACGCCUGUCGGGACCCGAAAGAUGGUGAACUAUGACUGAGCGGGGCGAAGCCAGAGGAAACUCUGGUGGAGGCUUGAAGCGAUACUGACGUGCAAAUCGUUCGUCUGACUUGGGUAUAGGGGCGAAAGACUAAUCGAACCAUCUAGUAGCUGGUUCCCUCCGAAGUUUACCUCAGGAUAGCUGGAGCCCAUUACAAGUUCUAUCAAGUAAAGCCAAUGAUUAGAGGCAUCGAGGAUGCAACGUCCUCGACCUAUUCUCAAACUUUAAAUAGGUAGGAUGGUUUCAAACAGUGUACCCUUCCUACACAAACUGAAGGGCACGGUUCCUAUGGGGGNNNNNNNNNNNNNNNNNNNNGGGAGGAGGGGUCCUCCCGGUUGGGCGUAUGGAACUCGGUUGGUUUUUCGUAUGAAAAACACCCGUUUUCGCGUAGCCCAACUCCUUCCCAACGUUGCCUCGGAUGUCCCGUCGUUAUGCCAUCACGAAGGUGUUGGCUCGGUCCCGUGUACGUCUCGUGAGAAAUCCUGACCCAACAGCCGAACGUGGCUCGGGAAACAGGAAAUUACCCCGUUUCGCACAUGGUCCGACCGACGGUAAACAGUCGCAACACUGUCCCUUGAAUGCCACCUUCAGAAACCGUUGCUCCCCGGGGGCAACGUCAUCGCUUGCCUGGUCCAUUUUACGUCUCACAUGAAAUUCUGACCCAACAGCCGAAUGCGGCUCGGGAAACAGGAAAGUAGCCUACUAUGUGCAUGAUAAGACCGCUGGACAACGUUGCACCGACGUCCCGCCUUCGGAANCUGGACAACGUUGCACCGACGUCCCGCCUUCGGAAAAUCGUUGCACCCAUAACUCUGUUGUUGUGGGAGUGACCCACGCGUGAUUUGGCCUUGCAGGACGCCUUCGUGCAAGUGAUCCUCCCGUGCUUUGCAUGGGAGGAGGCUUGGUUUGUUUGACCGCUUGUUGGCUACUAAGCGCAUGAGCAGCUUUGGACCCGUGCCUGCCGGUAGAUCCCCCGUUGUACUAUGGCCAACUACCAGCGCCGUGUCCCAUCAAUUGUGUGACUUUUAAUCGCUGGAAUAAGAGUGCUUGCGUGCUAGUACCCGACCUACGGGAAGUGGUGCUUCGUACAAAAUUUACCCCGCGGCGGACGCCCUUUGGGUGUGCUGCUGUGGCCGAAUAGCUCUUGCGGCGUUGCCUCAUCGUGCCGGCAUGUUAUGUGCCGGUGCUAUCAAGGCAAUCUCGCACCUGCUAUUGGUCUUGGUUGUUGCUCAUGAUAAAGGGUCGUGUCCCUUUCGGUUGACUCGACCCGACCCAAAGCUCUCUGAAUUGGGAACAACCGGAACAAGAGUUGCCUCUACCUCUCCACAGUUACGUGGUAGGAUACGCGACUCUCUGCGCCGAUCCUCAAGGACGAUGAGCUAUGCCACUCAACCGCGACAACCGGCCCGACUAUUGCCUGUGAGUUUCGACGCAAGUGGAAGCGCAGGGCGAUGGCCGAUGCUGGGCGUCACCGAGGACGUGCUACCUGGUUGAUCCUGCCAGUAGUCAUAUGCUUGUCUCAAAGAUUAAGCCAUGCAUGUGCAAGUAUGAACCAAUUUGAACUGUGAAACUGCGAAUGGCUCAUU
rnacentral:ncRNA from 1 species